rnacentral:rRNA from 1 species
GAUGAACGCUGGCGGCGUGCCUAAUACAUGCAAGUCGAACGGAGACAUUGUAGCAAUACGAUGUUCUUAGUGGCGAACGGGUGAGUAACGCGUUGGUGACCUGCCCCGAAGCGGGGGAUAACAGUCCGAAAGGACUGCUAAUACCCCAUGUGGUCUCAGGGAUUAGAUGCCCUGAGUCUAAAGGAGUAAUCCACUUUGGGAGGGACCUGCGUCCCAUCAGCUAGUUGGUAAGGUAACGGCCUACCAAGGCUAUGACGGGUAGGGGACCUGAGAGGGUGGACCCCCACAAUGGCACUGAAACACGGGCCAUACACCUACGGGUGGCAG